rfam:Picea glauca, whole genome shotgun sequence.
UUAAAGGUGUUUUUGAACACCACCCUUAUACUUAGUUUGGGCUCAU